GAUGAACGCUGGCGGCGUGCUUAACACAUGCAAGUCGAACGGAAAGGCUCCUGCUUGCAGGGGUACUCGAGUGGCGAACGGGUGAGUAACACGUGGGUGAUCUGCCCUGCACUUCGGGAUAAGCCUGGGAAACUGGGUCUAAUACCGGAUAGGACGAUGGUUUGGAUGCCAUUGUGGAAAGUUUUUUCGGUGUGGGAUGAGCUCGCGGCCUAUCAGCUUGUUGGUGGGGUAAUGGCCUACCAAGGCGUCGACGGGUAGCCGGCCUGAGAGGGUGUACGGCCACAUUGGGACUGAGAUACGGCCCAGACUCCUACGGGAGGCAGCAGUGGGGAAUAUUGCACAAUGGGCGCAAGCCUGAUGCAGCGACGCCGCGUGGGGGAUGACGGCCCUCGGGUUGUAAACUCCCUUCGCUAGGGACGAAGCGCAAGUGACGGUACCUGGAGAAGAAGCACCGGCUAACUACGUG
rnacentral:rRNA from 1 species